UAGUGAGUUUGAUCCUGGCUCAGAACGAACGCUGGCGGCAUGCCUAACACAUGCAAGUCGAACGAACCCUUCGGGGUUAGUGGCGCACGGGUGCGUAACGCGUGGGAAUCUGCCCUUUGGUUCGGAAUAACAGUUAGAAAUGACUGCUAAUACCGGAUGAUGACUUCGGUCCAAAGAUUUAUCGCCAGAGGAUGAGCCCGCGUAGGAUUAGGUAGUUGGUGGGGUAAAGGCCUACCAAGCCGACGAUCCAUAGCUGGUUUGAGAGGAUGAUCAGCCACACUGGGACUGAGACACGGCCCAGACUCCUACGGGAGGCAGCAGUGGGGAAUAUUGGACAAUGGGCGAAAGCCUGAUCCAGCAAUUCCGCGUGAGUGAUGAAGGCCCUUAGGGGUUGUAAACCCUCUUUUGCCAGGGAAGAUAAUGACUGUACCUGGAGAAUAAAGCCCCGGCUAACUUCGUGCCAGCAGCCGCGGUAAUC
rnacentral:rRNA from 1 species